rnacentral:rRNA from 1 species
AUACGGAGGAUGCGAGCGUUAUCCGGAUUUAUUGGGUUUAAAGGGUGCGUAGGCGGAUUGAUAAGUCAGCGGUGAAAACCUUCAGCUUAACUGGAGAAUUGCCGUUGAUACUGUUAGUCUUGAGUACGGUCAAGGUAGGCGGAAUGUGUAAUGUAGCGGUGAAAUGCUUAGAUAUUACACAGAACACCGAUUGCGAAGGCAGCUUACUGGACCAAUACUGACGCUGAGGCACGAAAGCGUGGGGAGCGAACAGGAUUAGAUACCCUGGUAGUCCACGCCGUAAACGAUGAUCACUCGCUGUUAGCGAUACACAGUUAGCGGCUAAGCAAAAGCAUUAAGUGAUCCACCUGGGGAGUACGGCCGCAAGGCUGAA